UACGUAGGUGACAAACGUUAUCCGGAAUUACUGGGCGUAAAGCGCACGCAGGCGGUCUAUCAAGUUUGGCGUGAAAGCUCCCGGCUUAACUGGGAGAGGUCGUUGAAUACUGGUAGGCUUGAGGCAGUGAGAGGGGUGCGGAAUUCCCGGUGUAGUGGUGGAAUGCGUAGAUAUCGGGAGGAACACCAGUGGCGAAAGCGGCACCCUGGCAUUGACCUGACGCUCAUGUGCGAAAGCGUGGGGAGCGAACGGG
rnacentral:misc_RNA from 1 species